GGCAAAGGAUGCAAUGACCAAACAAAGAUUGAGCUUAAACAGGUAGUUGGUAUUGAGUCUGAAGCGCUGAGCGAGAGGUACCUAGGGCUGCCAACACUGGUUGGUAGGUCGAAAGAAGGUACUUUUAAGUAUGUUACGGAAUGCUCAAAAGGCAAGGUAACGGGAUGGAAGGGACAGGGGCUGUCCAAGGCUACGAGGGAGGUACUCGUCAAAUCAGGUUUGCAAGCGACACCGACCUUUACCAUGAGUUGUUUUCACCUCAUGAAGAAGAUAUGCCGGAACUUGACUUCAAUCUCAUCGAAAUUC
rnacentral:rRNA from 1 species